AUACGUAGGUGGCAAGCGUUGUCCGGAAUUAUUGGGCGUAAAGCGCAUGUAGGCGGUUUGGUAAGUCGGUCGUGAAAAUGCGGUGCUUAACGCCGUAUGGCGAUCGAAACUGGUCAUCUGGAGUGCAGGAGGGGUAGGCGGAAUUCCUAGUGUAGCGGUGGAAUGCGUAGAUAUUAGGAGGAACACCGGUGGCGAAGGCGGCUUUCUGGACGGUAACUGACGCUGAGGCGCGAAAGUGUGGGGAGCAAACAGGAUUAGAUACCCUGGUAGUCCACACUGUAAACGAUGAAUGCUAGGUGUAAGAGGUAUCGACCCCUUUUGUGCCGGAGUCAACACAAUAAGCAUUCCGCCUGGGGAGUACGGCCGCAAGGUUGAAACUCAAAUGAAUUGGCGGGG
rnacentral:rRNA from 1 species